AGAGAUGUGUGAUGACGCAUAUCAAUAAGCGGAGGAAAAGAAACUAACAAGGAUUCCCCUAGUAACGGCGAGUGAAGCGGGAAGAGCUCAAAUUUGAAAUCUUAAAGGGUUUCCCUUGACGAAUUGUAGUUUAAAGAAGUGUUUUCUGUUGGAGUUUCGGUAAAAGUUCUUUGGAAUAGGACAUCAUAGAGGGUGAGAAUCCCGUAUUUGACCGUUACUUUCCAGCUGUGUGAUACACUUUCAAAGAGUCGGAUUGUUUGGGAAUGCAGUCCAAGAUGGGUGGUAAAUUUCAUCUAAAGCUAAAUAUUGGCGAGAGACCGAUAGCGAACAAGUACCGUGAGGGAAAGAUGAAAAGAACUUUGAAAAGAGAGUUAAACAGUACGUGAAAUUGUCAAAAGGGAAGCGUUUGACACCAGUGUUGUUUAGUUGAAAAUCAAUUCAAUAGUUUUUGAUUCUAAGUAGUAUUGACUUCAUCAGCUUGCUGCUUUCUUCUCAGAAAUUAUUGAAUGCACUUUUCAGUUAACAAGUCAACAUCAAUUUCUUUUGUUGUAAAAGGGUAAUAGGAAGGUGGCUUACUCUUUCGGCGUAAGUGUUUAUAGCCUUUGGCCUCUGCAAUCGGAGAGAUUGAGGAUCUGCAGCGUAGACUCUUCGGGGUUAGAUACACUUGUGCUAAGCUAUAGCCUUGUAUAGACAACUUGUUGACUAUGCUCAGUCAUGUAGCUUACUCGCUUAUGCUAUUUUACCUACGCUUAGGAUGUUGAUAGUCACAGCGUGUAC
rnacentral:rRNA from 1 species